ACGAACGCUGGCGGCGUGCUUCACACAUGCAAGUCGAACGGAAAGGCCCUGCUUUUGUGGGGUGCUCGAGUGGCGAACGGGUGAGUAACACGUGAGUAACCUGCCCUUGACUUUGGGAUAACUUCAGGAAACUCGGGCUAAUACCGGAUAGGAGCUCCUGCUGCAUGGUGGGGGUUGGAAAGUUUCGGCGGUUGGGGAUGGACUCGCGGCUUAUCAGCUUGUUGGUGGGGUAGUGGCUUACCAAGGCUUUGACGGGUAGCCGGCCUGAGAGGGUGACCGGCCACAUUGGGACUGAGAUACGGCCCAGACUCCUACGGGAGGCAGCAGUGGGGAAUAUUGCACAAUGGGCGGAAGCCUGAUGCAGCAACGCCGCGUGCGGGAUGACGGCCUUCGGGUUGUAAACCGCUUUCGCCUGUGACGAAGCGUGAGUGACGGUAAUGGGUAAAGAAGCACCGGCUAACUACGUG
rnacentral:rRNA from 1 species